GACGAACGCUGGCGGCGUGCUUAACACAUGCAAGUCGAACGGAAAGGCCCUGCUUUUGUGGGGUGCUCGAGUGGCGAACGGGUGAGUAACACGUGAGUAACCUGCCCUUGAUUUUGGGAUAACUUCAGGAAACUGGGGCUAAUACCGGAUAGGAGCUCCUGCUGCAUGGUGGGGGUUGGAAAGUUUCGGCGGUUGGGGAUGGACUCGCGGCUUAUCAGCUUGUUGGUGGGGUAGUGGCUUACCAAGGCUUUGACGGGUAGCCGGCCUGAGAGGGUGACCGGCCACAUUGGGACUGAGAUACGGCCCAGACUCCUACGGGAGGCAGCAGUGGGGAAUAUUGCACAAUGGGCGGAAGCCUGAUGCAGCAACGCCGCGUGCGGGAUGACGGCCUUCGGGUUGUAAACCGCUUUCGCCUGUGACGCAGCGUGAGUGACGGUAAUGGGUAAAGAAGCACCGGCUAACUACGUG
rnacentral:rRNA from 1 species